UUUAUAAAACUACACCAGAGCUUCCCAAGAGAGUAUAAAACAUGAAGUCAUGCACCUGGGAUCCAGGUUCUGAAUAUUAGAAUUUCCCUUACAGAAAGACUUGAGAUGAGUGGAGUCCAUACUUGGGACUCAAAAAGAGACCAUUAUAUCCUUUAACAUCUUCAACAAUCCAAAGAAUGGCCUGAGGAAGAGUGGGAGACCAAUGAUGUGACCCAAAUUGGUUCAUUUGAUGUAGUCAUUAUCGGUGGCGGAAUUGUGGGCCUCGCCUCUGCCAGAGCACUCAUCCUGCGACAUCCAGCACUUUCCAUUGGUGUUCUGGAAAAGGAGAAAGAUUUAGCUGUUCACCAGACUGGACAUAACAGUGGUGUCAUACAUAGUGGAAUUUAUUAUAAACCUGAAUCUCUGAAAGCUAAAUUGUGUGUACAAGGUGCAGCCCUCAUCUAUGAGUAUUGUAACCAAAAGGGAAUUUCCUACAAACAAUGUGGCAAG